GCAAUGCGUGGCGAACGGCUCAGUAACACGUAGUCAACAUGCCCAGGGGACGUGGAUAACCUCGGGAAACUGAGAUUAAACCGCGAUAGGUCAAGAUUUCUGGAAUGGAUUUUGGCUUAAAUCUACAUGGCCCCUGGAUUGGACUGCGGCCGAUCAGGCUGUUGGUGAGGUAAUGGCCCACCAAACCUAUAACCGGUACGGGCUCUGAGAGGAGAAGCCCGGAGAUGGGCACUGAGACAAGGGCCCAGGCCCUAUGGGGCGCAGCAGGCGCGAAACCUCUGCAAUGGGCGAAAGCCUGACAGGGUUACUCUGAGUGAUUUCCGCUAAGGAGAUCUUUUGGCAGCUCUAAAAAUGGUGCAGAAUAAGGGGUGGGCAAGUCUGGUGUCAGCCGCCGCGGUAAUACCAGCACCCCGAGUGGUCGGGACGAUUAUUGGGCCUAAAGCAUCCGUAGCCGGUUGUGCAAGUCCUCCGUUAAAUCCAGCCGCUCAACGGAUGGGCUGCGGAGGAUACUACAGGACUAGGAGGCGGGAGAGGCAAGCGGUACUUAGUGGGUAGGGGUAAAAUCCUUUGAUCCAUUGAAGACCACCAGUGGCGAAGGCGGCUUGCCAGAACGCGCUCGACGGUGAGGGAUGAAAGCUGGGGGAGCAAACCGGAUUAGAUACCCGGGUAGUCCCAGCUGUAAACGAUGCAGACUCGGUGAUGGGCUAGCCUCGUGUCAGCCCAGUGCCGCAGGGAAGCCGUUAAGUCUGCCGCCUGGGGAGUACGGUCGCAAGACUGAAACUUAAAGGAAUUGGCGGGGGAGCACCACAAGGGGUGAAGCCUGCGGUUCAAUUGGAGUCAACGCCGGG
rnacentral:rRNA from 1 species